rnacentral:rRNA from 1 species
UUUUCCUACGGGAGGCAGCAGUCGGGAAUAUUGCGCAAUGGAGGAAACUCUGACGCAGUGACGCCGCGUAUAGGAAGAAGGUUUUCGGAUUGUAAACUAUUGUCGUUAGGGAAGAAAAAAGACAGUACCUAAGGAGGAAGCUCCGGCUAACUCCGUGCCAGCAGCCGCGGUAAUACGGAGGAUCCAAGCGUUAUCCGGAUUUAUUGGGUUUAAAGGGUGCGUAGGCGGAUUGAUAAGUUAGAGGUGAAAUGUCCGAGCUCAACUCGGGAACUGCCUCUAAUACUGUUGAUCUAGAGAGUAGAUGC